AAUUCCAGCUGUUACGUGUGGAGCAUUGGUAAGAGUUUCAUCUGUAACACAAGGCCUAGCAACUGACUUCAUCUCCCGGCACUAAUGAAUCCAAAUCGUGAUCAACGAAUAACAAGAAAUACAUUAUGGGCACUUGGAGACGUCGGUAUAAAUACUUCCCCGAGGACGAUCAUUGUCGUCCUCCGCAAAUCCGACUUGUACGUACAAUACCUGUAAUACAGUGCGUGCGCGACUCCUGCAGGCAAAGAUCAGGGUCCUGCCGCAAAAGGGAUCUCACCUAAUGACCCGUUUCAACCUUGUCUUUGGGCACGGGGUCAUAAAUUCGCCAUUUCGAUCCGGGGCUUCUUUGUUUAUGCUUGACGAUUAAACGCCGAGU
rnacentral:lncRNA from 1 species